GGGGGCGAGCGGGGCAGCCGCCCUGGGCCCCCACAAUCCAGGGGCCCAUUUAUGAGCCCAGCCGCCGCAGGCCAAAAGCUGACGCACCCGUGACCCGUCUGGCCGUCCAUCUCCCUGCGCGGCUGCGCCCUGCGGUCUGCGGUCUGCGGAGUCGGCGAGGACGCGAGGACACGAACGCGAGCCGCCGUCCGCCGAAGUGCCGAACGGCCGAACUGCCGAAGCGCCGAGCGCGAGAGCCGAGAGGGAGACGGUCAGACGGAGUCACGUAGACGGGCAGACGGCCGACUGGCGUCUGGCGCCUGGCGGAGUGGCGGAGACGCCGAGACGCCCAGAGGCCAGACCCGACACCCGAGUACGGGAACGGGCCGAACGGCCGACGCCGAUUGGCCGAACGGGCGGACGGGUCGUCGGGUCGACGCGACGACGUCUCGACGAGACGGCGUGUUCCGGUGUUCGUGUCUUCGUGAUUCGUGAAAUCGUGAGUCCUGACUUCGUGUGACCGUGUCGGCCGUCGGCGAGACCGAGACUCCGCGUGGACCGCGUCACGGCGAGACCGAGAAUCCUGAGACCUGAGUCCGUCCGAGCCUCCGAGAUUUUGUUGCUCUGUGCCUCUGUCUCCGGGGAAGAUUGCCGUUUGCCGAUUGGGCGAAUUGCUCAGAUAUAUUAGAGUGUACUCCGUCGCCGGUCGCUGGCUCAUUGCCGUCUGCGGUGGAUUGGAAAAAUUUAUUCGUGAACCGUCUGCGGACUGCGCAUAUUCUUGAAUCAUGUCUUCUAGAAAGCAUGCAUCUGGUAGCGAAAAAAGGAAAAAAAGGAAACGAGUUGAUGAGUUAGUGGAAUCACAAAAGGGAGCCAUUGACAAAUUUUUUAAGAGUAAUACGAGCAGUUCAAAGAACCCGAACGAGUUGGCGAUAGUUGUUGUGGAGGAACAAUCUAAUGGGAAUUCAGAAGACCAAUGCCCUACAGAAGAAAAUAUUGGUACCAAGGAGGAUGAUAAUAAUCUUUUCAAAGUUGAAGUUAUUGAAGAACUAUUUGAGGUCAGUAAUGUCUCAAGAAAGGCUAACUGGUUUGGCGACCUUAUGUAUUGAGAAGAAUUUGCUAGAUGAAAUUGAUAUUAAUACCAUCAUUAGUGACUUCGCUUCUGUAAAUGUUAGAAGAAAUUGUUUUAGAUGAUCUCCACAUAUCUAUGAUAACCUGUCUUGUAUUUUCAAGUUGGAUGAUGGAGUCGUGAUUGCUAAUCUUGGUGCUAAAAAAUAAGGAGACUUGACUCAGAA